rnacentral:lncRNA from 1 species
CGGGUUAGUGAAACAUUAUUCUCGUAAUUGAAUCAUCCCAAAUUAGAACAUUUAAUCAAUGCCGGCUUUUCCUUUUUUAUUUUCUUUUGUGCACGAAACUGAAAAUUAUGCUCGUUUUCUGUAACAGAAAAAAAGAUGUUGCUGGUGAAGACAAUCUCUGCUCCAAGAGGACCUGCGUGUGAUAUUUUCGUCAUGCUUUCCUAGUAUAUUUGAGAUGCAUCCCCACAUAUCAAGUUCGUCUCUCCAGAGGUGCUGCUGUUUUUGUUUAUAAGCUUCCUUCUAUGUUACGCAUGAUAAUAUCGUGAGUAAUGUAAAGUAUUAUACAACAUUUCUCGAGUUCUUCUUUAUCGAACUUUCUGUUUGUGCAUACAAUUGCUCUUCGACGAUAAUUUAUUUAUAGAAUGGAGAAGUUACCACAGAAUGUGUUUAAAAAUUGAUGUCUGUUACAUCUGCGAUCGCAAUAGCGAUAGGCGGUGGUAAGUAUUUGCUCCCAUCAGGUUCUAUCAGUCUUUCCUCGUAGGAAUUCGAUAAGACCUUGAAGGGAAACAUGAGCAUCAUCGCUCGUCAUCAGCUCUCCGGCAACUUCAGCAGGCGUUGCUUGUGCCCUGUCGAGCAACAUCUCAAUUUCUCCGAAAAGUGUGUGCUCGUGAAUCAGCAGGUAAUUAUAUGCCAAUGUCUUGAAACCACCGAAGGUGCAGUAGGACAUGUGUAUGUGCAGGUCCAUCCGGCCAGGUCGCAGCAACGCUGGAUCAAGCCGGUCCUUGUGAUUCGUCGUAAACACGACAAUUCUCUCCUCUCCACAGGUCGACCAGAGUCCGUCGAUGAAGUUCAAUACAGCAGAGAGGCUGAUCUGUGAACUAAGAAAAACAUUAAAAACCGAUUGCUUUCAAAUAACCAAAAGCGCUUCUAAGAUUGUUAUUACCUUGUCAUCUUCCACGGCGUUGGGCUCGUUCUCCGAAUCUCGGUUCUGCAACUCAACUGAACAAUCAAUGUCCUCGAUCACCAAUAUCGACCGGCUCUUCGUUCCGAUCAGUAACCUUCGCAGAUCAGAAUUGCACUGAACCUCCCUCAAAUCCAAGUCAAAAAUAUCAAACUUGAGAUAAUUAGCCAUGGCCGCAACCAAGCUCGACUUUCCCGUGCCGGGCGGUCCGUACAACAAGUACCCUCUUUUCCAAGCCUUUCCUACCCUCCUAUAAUACUCCUUCCUCUUUCUAAACCUCUCGAGGUCCUCCACCAACGCCGCCUUCAUCUCCGGCUCCAUCGCCAUUGUUUCGAAACUCGCCGGAUGAUCAAGGUUGAUGGAGCUCCAGUAAUCCGUGCCAUUGUAAUCUACCGUGUGAAGCUUCACCACCUUUCUCUCCUCUUUAAUUUCUUUGGAUUUCUGUAGAAUGUAGGGCAAGUAAGAUCUCAGCACCAUGUCCCUGUGCUUCUUAUGGAAGCUGAGCUCUAACUGUCGGACCUCCGACUGCGAAUUUUCGCCGCCACGUUUACUGUUCGGUUUUUCGGUGCUUAUCAAAACCCACUUGAAAUCUACACCGUUGAAAGAAUCAACGAUGCCUUGAUUCUUAUCAAUGGUGAUCAGAAACUGCUCCUCUUUUUCGGGCUUGUUGACUUUGAUCCUCCGCGUAGCAGCGGAGACCUUGGCGCCGAGGUAGAGGUUGGCCGCCUCGAACAUCUGGUUCGGGGUCAGGCCGUCGAGCUCCUCCACAACGACGGUGAGUUGGGAGGAGAGCUUUUGGAGGCCGGAGUAGAAGUACUUUUGGAAGGCUUCCGGGAUGAGGUCGUUUGCAAUCGUUUUGAACAGGAUUGCGGAGGCGGCGAGUGAGGCGGCCGCCGAUAGUAUGGUUUUCGGCGACAAGCACCACAUGGUUUAGUUCUUUUUUUUUUGGGGGGGGGGUGUAUAGUGGUUGGUGGUGGUGGUGGUGGUGGGGGUGGUAAAUGAAAUAUUGAGAUGCGGCUGACGAUGGUUGUGUUAGGGGUUUUGUAGGGUUUUGCCUUCCGGGUUUGCGUGAAGAGAAAGACAGAGGAGUUGAGUUUGAUCGAAGAUAGUUAGGUCGGUGGUUUCUCUACGACAAGCUCGCGCUCUCUCUCUCCCUCUCCCUCUCUCCCUCUCUCCCUCUCUCCCCGUUCUAGAAUUUUAGUUGUACGCUUUCCUAUCGUGACUCGAAGUGCAUAGGUCUCGUUUGUCUUUCUUUGGGCCAUAUGUAAUGGAUGGUCCAUUUCAAACUAUACAUGUGAUAUCGAGAUGUACCAAUACCAAAGUUUUUUUCCUGUCACACUACAAGGUGGUGUCACGAAUUUACACACGUUAUAUGCGAGUUAGUAACAAUGUAUCGGUCGUGGUCUUCUAGUGAUUUUGCCAACAUGUUAUAUGUGAGUCAGUAACAAUAUAUAGGUUGUGGUCUUCCUAGUGAUUUUGCCACUAAUCGUCGUUGCUCAGAGGUCAACGUCAUCUUUAGAGUUAUCUAAAUGCAAAAGCGUCAUUAGUUUGAGCUUCCUUUCAAAAAUAAAAUAAUACAUGCUAAAAUGCUAAUAUUCCAUGCCAUUUGGUCUAUAAAUUUUGGUACUAAUUAAUCAGUAUUAAAAUAUUAUCUCCAAACUUAAAUCCAAUUUUGGCACUUGAAAAAUAAAAAAAUCAUCACUAACCAAUUAGAACUCACAAUCCGUCUUACCUUUGAAAACUCAUAAUGUUGUAGUCAAUUUGACCAUAACAACUCGAAAUACCAUUUAGAAUCAGAUCUCAUACAACUCGGGAAAUACUUCCCAGCAUCAAUAGGCAACCCCAAGCCAACAAGGUUCUUCGUUUUGUCAUAAAAAGUAACCUUUCAGUUGCGUCAAGACUCAACCAAUUUGAGCAUAGGCAAUGGAGAAUUAUUAGAAUAUGAAUUGUUUAAUAUUUUACAAACCAACAAAAAAGGGAAGUUAUUUUUUGGGGCCUUUAGAGAUAAGGAAAAGAUCCUUCAUUUUAAUGCACCAUGACAUAUCACUUAUAAUAAAACCACAAGUUUUACUACUAUUUACAAGAAUGCCGUCAUUAUUGUCUACAAUAUAACCUCCACCAUCAAAAUUUGAAAAAUGUAACGAUUACAUCAUUAUCACCCAUAAAAGUAACAUUCUAAAAAAUGUCAUCUUUAUUGUCUAUAACUACCAGCUUUUUGUUUUUUGUUUUGUUUCUUUUUAUAUUUAUUCAAAUUUUAUAUUGUGUGGAGAAUGCACUAAUUUAUGUGCGAUAGUUUCGGUACAGUCAAUUAACUAAGUUAUAUGGUUUAGGUCCGAUAGAUAGGUAUGGUCAAUUUGUUACGAUUUGUAUUUUUUAUGUUUUAGUUCACUAGGUAUGAUAAAUUAGGUACGUUAUACAGUUUAGGUCCGAUCAAUUAGGUUGUGAUUUCAUAUUCCAUUUUCUCUACAUACAAAAUUGUUCUUUUCACUUAUCGCAAUAUUCAUUUUUAAUUUAUUCAAUCCAAAACUAUAAAAACCAAAAAAGAAUGCAUUGAGAAUAUAGGUACACUAUAUUGCUCUACAUACAAAAUUGUUCAUUUAGGUACUGUCAAUUAGGUCCUAUUCAUUCAGUAUGGUCGGUUAGGUACUAUAUAGUGUAGGUUCAAUCAAUUCGGUACAGUCAAUUAGGUUGUGAUUUCGCAUUCCAUUUUCUCUAUUUGUAUUGUUUUUUUUUUCAUUUAUCUUUGAAUUCACUGUCAAUUUAGCAUCUAAAAGCCCCUUUUUCUUCUUUCUUCCGAAUACAACAAGAUUUUUCCUAGGUUUUUUUAAGGAAAACUAAUGAAAAGAGCUUGAAAACUUUGAGUUUUAACAAUAAAGACAAAAUAAAGGGUAAAGUGAAUAGUACCAAGAUUGACUUUUUAGUGUAAAAAUGUGGUUUUUCGUUAAAAUGAACAGUACAGUGGGCUUUUCGUUAAAACUUCUCCCAUUUUAUUGGAAUAACAAGGAGGUUUAUGGUAAUGUUGUUAUGACAAACAUGUUAAUUAUGGAUCUAGUGUUUCUCUAAUUGGUUUUAAGAGAGUAAGAAGGGUAAAUAGGGAAACUAAAAAUGCAAUAAUUUUAUUUUAAAAAAUGAUUAAAUGUGACAUGGAAUACUAUAAUACGACAUUGUAUUUUUAGUUUUUAAUCUUAUAUAAGGUAUUAUUGAAAAUGCAUUCUUAUUUAGGAAUCAAAAUGAAAUUUUCAAUUAUUUUUUUGGUAGAAAAAAGGGCAGUUACUUAAAAACAACAAUUAAUAAAUUGCUGGUUGAAAACCAACAAGCAAAGAAAAGAAAUUAAACAUACAAAAAUCUUAAAAUCAUGAAACAAUCACAGAAGUUUGAAGUGCUGCUAUGCCCGCCCAUCCGUCAUAGCUCUAUUUAAUAUUUGAAGUAGCCCGACAAAUCAAGAACCCAAUUGCAAUCAGGAGUAAACAAGAUACUGACACAAUACGAGCGCCGACAUUCUGCUCGUUCUUUGCUUUUAUUUUUUGAUAUUUCUGCUCGUUCUUUGCUUUGAUCUUUUGAUAUUUCUGUAAUAUGUGAUUCAAGUAAUAAUUCAAAAACAUAUUGACGUCGCCAACGAAGCCGUCACGGAAGCUUAGUUCAAAGUGACGUUGUUCUCGUACUUGGCCAUCACCGGAGCGCGGCAGUUUGGAGGACACCAGAGCCCACAUGACGCCGACACCUUGGAAAGAGUCGACCAGUUCUUGACUAUUACCGUCAACGGUGAUCACUUGUAACAGUUUAUCGGCCGCCGGAUCAAGUUUCUGGUGACUUUCGAAUUCGUUGUUUUUGAUGAGGUUGGUGUUGUUGCUGACCUUAAUUCUGAGUGUAGGGCAAGACAGCCUCUUGUCCACGUAAACGUUGACUGCUUUAAACAUUUCGUUGGGGACUUCUCCCUUGGUGAACUCUUCGACGGCGUACGCAGGGACUGGGGACCAUGACGGACGCUUGGACGUUGGGAGCUCCUCCAAUGCCAUAAUAUUGAACGUCGUCGAGGAUGUUGAUUAUAAGAGUUCUGAAGGUUUUUAUAAGGUUCUCGAAAACUAGAUUUGAACCCUUGGUUCUUAGAUAAGAUCAAAAUCAAACUAAUCGCUUAUCUAAGUAUUUGACUCUAUCUAGAUUUGAUUUUUUUUUCUUUUAACUUUAAUAUUUUGAUGUUCCUAUAUUAUCUAUUGUUGAGAAUGAAUCCACAUUAGAACAAGGAACCUGGAUGAGUUUAUAUGGAAUUAGACUACCCCAUAUUACAAAUUUGUUUUAUUUUCGUCAAAUGUGAAUUUGAACUAUAUUAGUGUUAGCGAAGCUAAGCCAGCUUUUUAGAUAAUAUCGUUUGUUAAAUAAAUAAAUAAAAAAAGAAGCCUUUCUUCACCCUUCAGUUAAAUAUGGAUUAUUUUCAAACUGGUCUAAUGAAAAAUUUAGCGUACAUAUUUUUGGCCAAUUUGUUGUAAAAUUUUGCCCAUGAAAUUAGUGGCUAGUCUGUUUGCUACUCACUUAGGUGAUGGUAGCUAGGGUCCUAAUUUCUCUUUAACUCAUUCAACUCAAUGCGUUCAUUUGUUUAGUAUAGAAGUAUAAUAUAUUACUUGUAUUAAAAAAAACAUCUUCUCUUUCUUUGUACUUUUAACCAAGCCCCAUGGAAUAAAAUAUUUGAAUAUCAAUCUUAUCGAUUCCUAUAACUAUCAUAUGAAAUUCAAUCUUUUUUAAGAAAUACGAGAAAUUAAUAAGAAAAGAUAAAAUGUGAUGAUAAGUUUACAUUUGUAACACAACUAGAAACUAGGAUAAUUAAAACAAACAGAAACUUGAUACAAGUCUAAUUUUUUAAAACAAAAUAGAAAUAGUCCAGUUCAUUAAAAUAAGUACAAUUCCUUAAAUUUAAUCAUUAAAUUAUUGUUAUUUCUUUCUCUUCCUUCUGCUUUAAACAACAUUUAUAGAUUUUAUUUUAAAUUUUUAUAAUCAACCUAUAUCACAAGUUAAUUAUAUUUAUCUACAACAUAUUCUUUUUUUUUUUAUCAAAAAGUGUUUGUAACUAAUCAUGUCGGGGAUUUUGGUUUAUUAUUAUGAAUUUUUGUUUUUAUUGGAUAAAAGGUAGUUUCGAAUUAUCAACAUGUAUCACAAAUUAAUGUGUUUUACUUGUAGGUAUAUUAUGUUUUUCUACCUUUUAGUUAGGUUUUAUAUCUCACUUAUAUGUAUAAUAUACAUUCAUAUAUUUAUUAGGAAUUUUUUGUUUUUAUUGGAUAAAAGGUAGUUUCGAACUAUCAUCAUGUAUCACAAAUUAAAGUGUCUUGCUUGUAGGUAUAUUAUAUUUUUCUACCUUUUAGUUAGGUUUCAUAUCUCGCUUAUAUGUAUAUUAUACAUUCAUACAUUUAUUAGGAAUUUUUUGUUUUUAUUGGUUAAAAGGUAGUUUCGAAUUAUCAACAUGUAUCACAAAUUAAUGUGUCUUGCUUGUAGGUAUAUUACGUUUUUCUAUAUUUUAGUUAGGUUUCAUAUCUCGCUUAUAUGUAUGAUACACAUGCAUAUAUAUAUAUUACUUGAGUAUGGUCAUAUGUUCCGCACAUGGAUGUGUAUUAGUAUAUUAGUUUUUUUUGUUAAAAGAUAUUAAGUAGAUUUUAAUUUAUCUCUAAUAUAAAAUAAAAAAACAAAAUAAAAUGAGUAUAAGAGAAAAAAAAAUAAAAUAAAGAAAAGAUAAUACUGGACUUAACCUAAUAACUGAAAAUUCUAAAUAGCCAAAAUGAUCCCUGAUAUUUGCAUAACUCAUCACUUUGGUCCCUAACAUUUCAAAUCAAUAAAAGUGGUCCCUGAGAUUAUCCACCAUCCAUCAUUUUGUCAUUCCGUUAAAAACUCCGUUAAGUGUCUCGGAGCUCUUGGCUGGAAGUUUAGGCAAUUUUCAAAGCUUUGUAACUCAAUCGUUUCUUAACCAAAUUCGACCCAUAAUAUAUCAAAAUGAAGAUAUGAAAGUGUAGAAUAAGAUUAUACCUAUUUGGAAGCCCAAUGGAUGGAGAUGGCCAGAAAAUAGCCUCAAAGUUGACUUGUCCGAGGGAAAACUGGAAAACUUGCUAGAAACUAGGUAAACUUUAAACGUUCAUAACUUCUUCAAUAUUCAACGAAAUCAAGUGAUUCAAAAACGAAAAUCAUACUUCUGAACGAGACAAAGAUAAUAGUACCUUUUUAGAUGGCUAAAUCUCCGUGGUUUAUCCGGAAAACGGCUCGAAAUUGGCUAACUCGAGAUCAAGAUAGCCAUUUUCGAGCUGUUUUUCGGCCAAACCACUGCAAGUUAGCUAUCGACAGAGGCACCAUUCUUUUUUUCUGGUCGAGAAGUAUGAUUUUAAUUUUUGAAUCACUUGAUUUCGUUGUGUAUUGAAGAAGUUAUGAACGUUUAAAGUUUACUCAGUUUCCGGCGAGUUUUCAAGUUUUCCCUCGGACUGGUCAACUUUGAGGCUAUUUUCCAGCCAUCUCCGACAACCAUUGGGCUUCCAAAUAGGUAUAAUCUUAUUCUACACUUUUUUAUCGUCAUUUUGAUAUAUUAUGGGUCAAAUUUGGUUAAGAAACAAUUGAGUUACGAAGCUUUGAAAAUUGCCCAAACUUCCGACCAAGUGCUCCGGGACAUUUAACGGAGUUUUUAAUGGAAAGACCAAAAUGAUGGAUGGUGGACAAUCUCAGGGACUACUUUUAUUGAUUUGAAAUGUUAGGGACCAAAGUGAUGAGUUAUACAAAUCUCAGUGACCAUUUUGGCUAUUUAGCCUAACUGAAAAUUGUGCUUGUUUUCUGAAAGAAAAAAAGAUCCUGCUGGUGAAGACAAUCCCUGCUUCAAGAGGACCUGCGUGUGAUAUUUUCGUCAUGCUUUCCUAGUAUAUUUGAGAUGCAUCCGCACAUACCAAGUUCGUCUCUCCAGAGGUGCUGCUGUUUUUGUUUAUAAGCUUCCUUCUACGUUACGCAUUAUAAUGUCGUCACUAAUGUAAAGUAUUAUACAACAUUUCUCGAGUUCUUCUGUAUCAAACUUUCUGUUUGUGCAUACAAUGGCUCUUCG